rnacentral:rRNA from 1 species
GACGAACGCUGGCGGCGUGCUUAACACAUGCAAGUCGAACGGAAAGGCCUGCUUUCCCUUGUGGAUUGCGGGUACUCGAGUGGCGAACGGGUGAGUAACACGUGAGUGAUCUGCCCCCAACUUGGGUAUAAGCCUGGGAAACUGGGUCUAAUUCCCGAUAGGACUGCAGGGUGGUGCCUGUGGUGGAAAACGAUUUUCUAGUGGUUGGGGAUGAGCUCGCGGCCUAUCAGCUUGUUGGUGGGGUAAUGGCCUACCAAGGCGGCGACGGGUAGCCGGCCUGAGAGGGUGGACGGCCACAUUGGGACUGACAUACGGCCCAGACUCCUACGGGAGGCAGCAGUGGGGAAUAUUGCACAAUGGGCGGAAGCCUGAUGCAGCGACGCCGCGUGGGGGAUGACGGCCUUCGGGUUGUAAACUCCUUUCGACCGCGAGGAAGCCACCUGGUUGGAAGGGUGGUGACGGUAGUGGUAGAAGAAGCACCGGCUAACUACGUG